GAUGAACGCUGGCGGCGUGCUUAACACAUGCAAGUCGAACGGACAGGCCAUGCUCUUGUGGGGUGCUCGAGUGGGGAACGGGUGAGUAAAACAUGAGUAACAUGCCCUUGACUUAGUGAUAACUCUUGGAAAAAGCGGAUCAUACACGAUAGGAGCUAUUGAUGCACGGUGGGGGUUGGUAAGUUUCGGUGGUUGGGGAUGGUCUCGCGGCUUAUCCGCUUGUUGGUGGGGUAGUGGCUUACCAAGGUUUUGACGGGUAGCCGGCCUUAGAGGCUGACCGGCCACAUUGGUACUGAGAUACGGCCCAGACUCCUACGGGAGGCAGCAGUGGGGAAUAUUGCACAAUGGGCGGAAGCCUGAUGCAACAACGCCGCGUGCGGGAUGACGGCCUUCGGGUUGUAAACCGCUUUCGCCUGUGACGAAGCGUGAUUGACGGUAAUGGGUAAAGAAGCACCGGCUAACUACGUG
rnacentral:rRNA from 1 species